rnacentral:rRNA from 1 species
GACGAACGCUGGCGGCGUGCUUAACACAUGCAAGUCGAACGGUGAAGGGGCCUGCUUUUGUGGGUCCUGGAUGAGUGGCGAACGGGUGAGUAACACGUGAGUAACCUGCCCCCUUCUUCUGGAUAACCGCAUGGAAGUGUGGCUAAUACGGGAUAUUCUGGGUCUGUCGCAUGGUGGGCCUGGGAAAGAUUGCGCCUUUUUUGGUGUUUUUGGUGGGGGAUGGGCUCGCGGCCUAUCAGCUUGUUGGUGGGGUGAUGGCCUACCAAGGCGGUGACGGGUAGCCGGCCUGAGAGGGUGGACGGUCACACUGGGACUGAGACACGGCCCAGACUCCUACGGGAGGCAGCAGUGGGGAAUAUUGCACAAUGGGCGCAAGCCUGAUGCAGCGACGCCGCGUGAGGGAUGGAGGCCUUCGGGUUGUGAACCUCUUUCGCCAGUGAAGCAGGCCUGCCUCGUUUGUGGGUGG